AUGAACAAAGAUCACAGCCACCACCAGCGCCCUGCUCCGGCACCAAGGCGUCAGCCCAUCUCCAAAGCCAGAUGCAAGGAGGAGCCYGGCAUUGUCUUCAGCCUCAUCAGUCUGUUCCCAGGCGGGGAGGUCUGCUGGGUCCCUCCGCACAGGUUCAUGCUGCUCUUCUCAGCUCAGGACCUGGCCCUGCCAAUCCAGCAUGGCCACCUGAAGCACUGGCCCGGGGCUCACGGGCCCCAUCCGUCUCACCCCGGGAGGUCAGCCAAAAGCUCCCGGGCUCUUCUGCAGCCUCUCCCAUUCCUCGGGGCGGAUGAGGUUUGGUGUGGUGGUGGUCUGUGGCAUCACGCUGGUGGGGGACGACAAGGGGACCGUGCCAGCACCAUCCAGCGUGUCCGCAGUGGGACGGAGCUGCAGGACAGAGGACUGAGGAGGGGGUCUUCCAUCUUCAGGGCUGCGUUUCCCAUGGAUCUCAUUUCAUCCUGCACCCCCUUGCAGAACAAAAUCCCCGGGACUGUCUGCCCUGCCGUGGCUGCGGGUCUCUGGGGUCUCCCCUUCCUUGGCUCUGGGAGAUGCUGCACGGAGGGGCCAGGCUGGGAGGGAGACCGGCUGGAAAGCAAGGGUUUGGGGCCACGAAACAUUAGCRGGUGGCUUUCCCCCUGGGGGAACAUGGAAGACUGCAGCCGGGUCGGGAGGCUGGAGGGGAGAAGGUGCAAGUCUGGAGGUGGAUGUGGAACCCAGGCCGCAGGACUCGGGAGAGUGGGGUGUCCUCACGCAGGUGCCCAGCUCACAGAGGGACAGGCUGCUUUUCCCUUGCUUUUGGCCAUCCUGACAUCUCUUCUCUUGCAGAAGAUUUGGCAACACAGUCGCUGUCUGCCCCAAAUCUCAGUAUUUUCUGAUGGGGAAGAAAACAAAGAGGUAAAAAUGCCCCCUGCUCUGCCCAUAUUCCCCAGCAGUAGUAGGUGCAAGCCCCCACACUGGGGCCAGUGCCUGGGCUGCCCAWCCAUUGUCCCUCCAGGGCAGAGCUGGAAAAAAUCCAGGUCCCAAAAGCUUCAGCUCCCUGUUCUCAUCCCUAGGCCCUUGACGUCCAGCCCCCUUCUCCUUGACCUUUAUGUGGGCACAUAG
rnacentral:lncRNA from 1 species